rnacentral:lncRNA from 1 species
UCCGCCCAUCUUAUUCCAUAAUUUCCGAUCAAUAUCCACCUCUUCAAGGCCGAAAGAAUAAUCCUAUCAAGAUGUCAAUCCCCAUUUCAUUAAUAUUUUUAAUUAUUCCAUAUCGGAAAUAUCAUUAUAAUACCUCUCCCCUAAAACUUGGAACGGAAUGCUGACACUAAUAAAUUUUAAUUAGUGUUAUUAGUCUCCCAUAUCUGGAUCGGCUAAUCAAGUUCAUUGUAAAUGUCAAAAUUAAUACCACUGAUUGAUGUCAUUGACUAUUUCUAACUUGAAAUAGCCAAUCAGAUUUUUCUUUUCAUAAUAUCUUGGAAUAUUUCCGGAAAUGUUGAUGUCAAGAUUCUUGACAUCAUUAGCUUUCACUUCAGGAAUAGCUAGUCAAGUUUCAUGUGAUUGCCGAUAUCAACAACACCGGUCGAUAUCAUUAACUAUUCUCACCCGAAUAGUUAAUCAAAUUCAGUAUCCCUCAUUUUCAGGGAUGAUUAUGCCGAUGUUAGUAAACCUUACUAACAUCAUUAGCCUCCGCAUUCAGGAUUGGCUAAUCAAGUUUCGUGUGAUUGCCGAUAUCGACAGCACCGGUCAAUAUCAUUAACUAUUCUCACCCGAAUAGUUAAUCAAGUUCAGUAUCCCUCGUUUUCAGGGAUGAUUAUGCCGAUGGAUUAUUAUGCCGAUGUUAGUAAACCUUACUAACAUCAUUAGCCUCCGCAUUCAGGACCGGCUAAUCAAGUUUCGUGUGAUUGCUGAUAUCGACAGCACCGGUCAAUAUCAUUAACUAUUCUCACCCGAAUAGUUAAUCAAGUUCAAUAUCCCUCAUUUUCAGGGAUGAUUAUGCCGAUGUUAGUAAACCUUACUAACAUCAUUAGCCUCCGCAUUCGGGACCGGCUAAUCAAGUUCGAGGAAUGAUCAUCUACGUAAAAAGUGUAGGUAUAGAACACCUACCAGCUGCAGAAGCUCAACUCGCUCUUCCUUGUUGUUGUUGUGCCCCUCCUGCAAUCCCUCCUUAAGCUCCUACUACACGAGCUCUUGAGAAGUCGAGUGAAUGCUUCUCCUACUUUUUUAAUAUAACAUCUUGAAUCAAUAUUUGAAUCUUCCCGAUUUAUUCAUAAUAUUCAUAAAUUCACAAAAUCAAAUAACAAUUUCCAUGGAUGUUCAAAGACAUGAAUUCUCGUCACCGAUUUUCUAAUGUCCCAAGACAUUUAAUCUAUCACCAAACAAUGUAAUUUAACUUAAAUUUCAUCAAUGACUACACAUGCCAAAUUUUUCCAAAGCACACUCAAAAUGAUUCCUUAUAUCAUAAUUCAACUUACAACAUCCUUUACCAUGAUUUCCCAUUCCAACAUAACCAAAGUAUUAAUCAAUCACUAUUCUUUAUAGAAUUUAACUAUACCAUCACUUAUCAACACAUCAAACAUGACUCAAACACAACACAAACACAACCAUCAUCAUUAAACCUAUUGCCAUUAUCCUUAGUCCCAAAACAUACUUUUUAUGCUAAAGCUCAGAUUCUCAUUCAAUAUUUCUCAAACCAAACUUAAAACAUCAUUCUGUAAAUUUAGAAUUCAAUAAAUCCAAACGGUGUAAUUAUACAUCAUCAUCGUUAGAAUAACAUAUCCAAAAUUAACAUACAUCCAACGGUUAAAUCUCCUGAUAUCAGAACAAUACCGGACUGACCUGAAAAUUGGAGACCUACUGUUCGGGAAAUACAGUUUCUGGUAGGAGUGUUUGUUUCCGAUCGUAACCGUUCAGAAUUUAUAUAACAUCUGGAUUAACAACAUAUCCAAAAUCCAGACCAAUCCAACGGUGAAAAAAUGAUAUAAUGUCCGACGAACAAGGCUGUCUUGAAGGGUGAUUUUCCAGAAAUGUUCCUCCGGUGACAGCCCUCAAACAAAGUCUGCUAUUUACAAUCCCUCCGGUCAGAAUGUAGGUGACAUUGAGUAUAAUAACAUAUCCAAAAGUAAAUCUAAUCCAACGGUGGAAAGUCAAAAUAUGGCUGCCGAAGUUCCUGCCCUGUUGCAAUCCCAAAACUCAUAAUUUCAAAUCAAUUUAUUCCUUCAAUUUUUCAGCAAAUCAAGCCAUUAUCAUGCAAUUAAUCUUGAAAUUCACAAGAAUAAUUACUCCCCCAAAAUAUUUACAUGAACCCUAAAAUUUUAAACUUGGAGGUUUUCUUCUCCUCAUGCAAGAACAAGAGAGAAAAACGAAAUUACUAAAGGGUAUGUUGCUUACCUUUGCUACUUUAACUUAUUUCAAUGAAUUCUUGCAAAAAUUUACAAAAAUCAUGUCCUCCUCUUCCAAUUUCCAGCUUCUUCCCUUUGUUUCUCUCAAGCUCUAUAACUCUUUAAGUUGUCACUUAAUUUGUUUUCUUGGAUAUAAUCCUCCAGAGAACACUCACUUUUGAUUUAGCUUGAAGAAAUGAAGAGAAAAUGAAGAAAAUGGGACAAAACAAAUGGUCUCCCUCCUGUUUUUCCAUUUGCAGAGGACG